rnacentral:lncRNA from 1 species
AGGUCAUUUGAAAAUUUUAAAUUUCAAAUGUGCGAAAUUUAGAUGUAAUUAUCCUUAACUAGAUGAUUUCAAAUGGAAAAAUAGUCAAUUAUAAAGUUGUAUAAUUUCUGAGAUCUACAACUUUUAUUUUUUUUAUUUAUCCGUUCAUGGUUGUUUGAAAAAUUCAAAUUUCAAAUGCGAGAAAUUUUCAAAUAUAAUUUUCCUUUACAAGAUGAUUUUAAAUGAAAAAAUUAUCAACUACAAAAUUGUAUAACUUUUUGUCUAUAUUUUUUUUAUUUUGGUUGUUGGUCUAUCUGAUGUCAUUUAAAAAUUUUUAAUUUCAAAUUUGAGAAAUUCAAAUAUAAUUUUCUUUAACAAAAUAAUUUCAAAUGAAAAAACUAUCAACUAGAAGUUCUAUAACUUUUUGAGAUUUAUAGCUUUUAUUUUAGUCAUUUCUCUAUCUGAGAUCGUUUAAAAAAUUUAAUUUUUACUAUUCGGUGUAUAAUUGUAGGGGCGGUUCUAGAUCCGGCACCCCCUACGAUUUUGUAUGGGUUAUUGGAUCUAGAGCUGCCCCUACAAAUAGGGCCAUUUGUUGAGAGUGGCUAAUAGCACCAACAGCCUCGUAGAUUGAGCUAUUUGUAGGGGUGGCUCAUUUAGGGAACUACUCCCUCCAGUCCAGUAUAUCUGGCGUGAGCAAGUUUUUAGCUUAGGCCAAGGUCUUGUUUAGUUCCAAAAUAUUUUGCAAAAUCAACACUGUAGUUUUUUCGUUUGUAUUUGACAAAUAUUGUCCAAUUAUGGACUAACUAGGCUCAAAAGAUUCGUCUCGUCAAUUUCGACCAAACUGUGUAAUUAGUUUUUAUUUUUGUCUAUAUUUAAUACUUCAUGCAUGUGUCUAAAGAUU